rnacentral:rRNA from 1 species
AGGACGAACGCUGGCGGCGUGCUUAACACAUGCAAGUCGAGCGAGGCCCUUCCUUCGGGAAGGUGCCCUAGCGGCGAACGGGUGAGUAACACGUGGGCAACCUGCCCCUAGCACUGGGAUAACUCCGGGAAACCGGGGCUAAUACCGGAUACGACCAUCGAGGGCAUCCUCUUUGGUGUAAAGGAUUCUGGCUAGGGAUGGGCCCGCGGCCUAUCAGCUUGUUGGUGGGGUAAUGGCCUACCAAGGCGACGACGGGUAGCCGGCCUGAGAGGGCGACCGGCCACACUGGGACUGAGACACGGCCCAGACUCCUACGGGAGGCAGCAGUGGGGAAUAUUGCACAAUGGGCGAAAGCCUGAUGCAGCGACGCCGCGUGAGGGAUGACUGCCUUCGGGUUGUAAACCUCUUUCAGCAGGGACGAAGCGAAAGUGACGGUACCUGCAGAAGAAGCACCGGCCAACUACGUGCCAGCAGCCGC